CUUUCGGAUGAUACCCAUUUUUGCUGUUCUAUCCUGAGUUCAUCUUGAUGACACAAUUCCUAUUCACCUUGGAGAACUGAUAA
rnacentral:snoRNA from 1 species